rnacentral:rRNA from 1 species
UACGUAGGGUGCAAGCGUUGUCCGGAAUUAUUGGGCGUAAAGAGCUCGUAGGCGGUUUGUCGCGUCUGGUGUGAAAAUCCAGGGCUUAACCCUGGACCUGCAUCGGGUACGGGCAGACUAGAGUGCGGUAGGGGAGAUCGAAUUCCUGGUGUAGCGGUGAAAUGCGCAGAUAUCAGGAGGAACACCGGUGGCGAAGGCGGAUCUCUGGGCCGUAACUGACGCUGAGGAGCGAAAGCAUGGGGAGCGAACAGG